rnacentral:rRNA from 1 species
GACGAACGCUGGCGGCGUGCUUAACACAUGCAAGUCGAGCGGUGAAGCGCGGUGCUUGUUGGUGUGUGGGGAGGAGUGGCGAAGGGGGGAGUAACACGAGAGUAACCUGCUCCGUCCUGCUGGAUAACCGCAAGAAAGAGUGGCUAAUACGGGAUAUUCUGGAUCUGUCGCAUGAUGGGUGUGGGAAGGAUUUUGUUUCGGUGGUGGAUGGGCUCGCGCCGCAUUAGCUAGUUGGUGGGGUGAUGGCCUACCAAGGCGACGAUGCGUAGCCGGCCCGAGAGGAUGAUCGGCCGCACUGCAACUGCGACACGGUCCAGACGCCUACGGGAGGCAGCAGUAGGGAAUAUUCCGCAAUGGGCGGAAGCAUGCUGGAGCAGCGCCGCGUGGGUGAUGAAGGUCUUCGUCGCGUUAAGAUCUGCUUUCGGGAAUGAAGAAGUGUUGCCUCGUCUGUGCGCGGGUUGACGGUACCUAAAUAAGAAGCGCCGGCUAACUACGUG